AUUGAACGCUGGCGGCAGGCCUAACACAUGCAAGUCGAGCGGAUGAAGGGAGCUUGCUCCUGGAUUCAGCGGCGGACGGGUGAGUAAUGCCUAGGAAUCUGCCUGGUAGUGGGGGAUAACGUCCGGAAACGGGCGCUAAUACCGCAUACGUCCUGAGGGAGAAAGUGGGGGAUCUUCGGACCUCACGCUAUCGGAUGAGCCUAGGUCGGAUUAGCUAGUUGGUGGGGUAAAGGCCUACCAAGGCGACGAUCCGUAACUGGUCUGAGGGGAUGAUCAGUCACACUGGAACUGAGACACGGUCCAGACUCCUACGGGAGGCAGCAGUGGGGAAUAUUGGACAAUGGGCGAAAGCCUGAUCCAGCCAUGCCGCGUGUGUGAAGAAGGUCUUCGGAUUGUAAAGCACUUUAAGUUGGGAGGAAGGGCAGUAAGUUAAUACCUUGCUGUUUUGACGUUACCAACAGAAUAAGCACCGGCUAACUUCGUG
rnacentral:rRNA from 1 species